rnacentral:rRNA from 1 species
GACGAACGCUGGCGGCGUGCCUAAUACAUGCAAGUCGAACGCACAGUUUAUACCGUAGCUUGCUACACCAUAGACUGUGAGUUGCGAACGGGUGAGUAACGCGUAGGUAACCUGCCUGGUAGCGGGGGAUAACUAUUGGAAACGAUAGCUAAUACCGCAUAAUAUUGAUUAUUGCAUGAUAAUUGAUUGAAAGAUGCUAUUGCAUCACUACCAGAUGGACCUGCGUUGUAUUAGCUAGUAGGUGAGGUAACGGCUCACCUAGGCGACGAUACAUAGCCGACCUGAGAGGGUGGUCGGCCACACUGGGACUGAGACACGGCCCAGACUCCUACGGGAGGCAGCAGUAGGGAAUCUUCGGCAAUGGACGAAAGUCUGACCGAGCAACGCCGCGUGAGUGAAGAAGGUUUUCGGAUCGUAAAGCUCUGUUGUAAGAGAAGAACGGGUGUGAGAGUGGAAAGUUCACACUGUGACGGUAGCUUACCAGAAAGGGACGGCUAACUACGUG